rnacentral:tRNA from 1 species
UUCCUGGUGGUCCAGUGGCUAAGACUCUGAGCUCCCAACACAGGGGGCCCGGGUUCGAUCCCUGGUCAAGGAA